GUAGGCAGUGUUCUUCAUCUUCAAGCUCUCUCCUUCUCAUUGUUUGAAGCUCUAAACUUUGGUGUUGUUGGUGGUUAUUGCUGCAGCCUUUCGGUGGGUUUGCGAUCUCUUCGUUUUAAGUUAUUCGGUAUUUUUUGUCUGUACUCUGUAUUUCUGCGGGUUUUAGUACAUCUCCAUUCCUGGCUCACCCAGCUAUGAGGAGUAAGUCCUAGUUAUGAGCACAUUUUUUUUGUAGUAGCGCUAUCAUCUGACUGCGGUCGAAGAUCCGACUUCAGCUGUUGAUAUUCUGCUUGUUCUGUUCCAACUUCACAGUCGAAGAUCCAACCUUGUGCUGUUGAUUUCUAUUAUUAGUCAGGGAGAUGUACAUGUCUGUUUUCGCGUACUUCUGAAUUUCUGAUCAAUAUGAUUAUUUUUGUAUUCUGAGCAUUUUUGUAUUUUUGCCCAGACUAUAGUUAUUCUGCAAUAUCUGUAUUAUCUGUUAUUUUUGCGAUCCUACUGGACCCUUGUUGGUCAUGCACUCUGUGAUUUCUCUCUUUCAUAAGAAAAGAUUGAGCAGAGAAGAUUGAGCCUAGGAUUUGUGGUGGUGGUGGUUGGGGGGUGGGGGUUAUCUUGGAGUCGUCUUCCUGUUUUUGGUUGUAGACCUUAUAGUGAACUUUCUUGUGUGAGUAAGGCUUGUAUCUUGUCUGUAUCUAUGGUUUGUAAACUUGUAUGUGUGGCACUAUUUUCUGUAGGGCUGCUUAAGCCCAUAGUUGUAUUAACUCUGUUACUGUUGAUCUAUUUGUAGUUCUGUAUUAUUGUUUCA